GCUGGCUUGGUGCGGAUGGUUCUGACUAUCUCGUAAAUUAGUCUUGUGACAAACGAUGACAGUGCGGAUGGCUUGUUGCUCUGUGCAAACAAACCAACCCCAACCCCACCGCACCCACCCACGACCACUCGCCCUGCUUGCAACAUCGAUUAAACUUUGACAAAGUUGCGAUUAUUUUAUUGACAAACUGGCGACCUUGGCGUUGACAGUCGGUGACGUCACUGCGGCACUGGCUGGCACCCAGUCUUGCAGAUCCUGGCCUACGUACAAUAUACACCAAAUCAGCAUCCCAACUUACCAAUGACGGAAACGCAUUUCUCGUUCACAACUCCACUGGGCAGGAGAUGGAAGUCGAACUCCGUGCCAUUAGCCACCACAGUGUGUCCAGCGUUGUUGCCGCCCUGUGGAUUGGAAAGAUUGAAAAUGUAGUUUCCCAGAUAUACAAAGUAUGCCUGUUGAUAUACAAAAUUAGCAAUAUUUGUUUUGCUUUCGUUUGUGCGACGAGCGAGAAGAAAAACAAAAGCUUGUGGG
ensembl:ncRNA asRNA:CR44047 antisense RNA:CR44047